rnacentral:rRNA from 1 species
GACGAACGCUGGCGGCGUGCCUAAUACAUGCAAGUUGAGCGCUGAAGGUUGGUACUUGUACCAACUGGAUGAGCAGCGAACGGGUGAGUAACGCGUGGGGAAUCUGCCUUUGAGCGGGGGACAACAUUUGGAAACGAAUGCUAAUACCGCAUAAAAACUUUAAACACAAGUUUUAAGUUUGAAAGAUGCAAUUGCAUCACUCAAAGAUGAUCCCGCGUUGUAUUAGCUAGUUGGUGAGGUAAAGGCUCACCAAGGCGAUGAUACAUAGCCGACCUGAGAGGGUGAUCGGCCACAUUGGGACUGAGACACGGCCCAAACUCCUACGGGAGGCAGCAGUAGGGGAUCUUCGGCAAUGGACGAAAGUCUGACCGAGCAACGCCGCGGGAGUGAAGAAGGGUUUCGGAUCGUAAAACUCUGUUGGUAGAGAAGAACGUUGGUGAGAGUGGAAAGCUCAUCAAGUGACGGUAACUACCCAGAAAGGGACGGCUAACUACGUG